rnacentral:rRNA from 1 species
UGGAGGAAAGCAGGGGAUCGUAAGACCUUGCGCUUUUGGAGUGGCCGAUGCCUGAUUAGCUAGUUGGUGGGGUAAAGGCCUACCAAGGCGACGAUCAGUAGUUGGUCUGAGAGGACGACCAGCCACACUGGGACUGAGACACGGCCCAGACUCCUACGGGAGGCAGCAGUGGGGAAUUUUGGACAAUGGGCGAAAGCCUGAUCCAGCAAUGCCGCGUGAGUGAAGAGGGCCUUCGGGUUGUAAAGCUCUUUCAGUCGAGAAGAAAAGAUUGUGAUGAAUAAUCACAGUUCAUGACGGUAUCGACAGAAGAAGCACCGGCUAACUACGUGCCAGCAGCCGCGGUAAUACGUAGGGUGCAAGCGUUAAUCGGAAUUACUGGGCGUAAAGGGUGCGCAGGCGGCUUUGUAAGUCAGAUGUGA